rnacentral:lncRNA from 1 species
AAAUUUUAUUUAUAAAUAUAUAUUCAUUUAUUAUAUAUAUUAUUUUAUUUUUAUAUAGAAAUAUUUAUAUAAUAUUUUGUUUAUAAAUUUGUAAUUAUUUAUUAAUAUUUUUAAAUAUAUAAAUUUUAUGUAUUAUUAAUAAGGUUUAUUAUUAAUAUAUGAAUAUAUUUAAUCUAUAUAUAAAAAUUAUAAUAAUAAUAUAUAUAGUAUAUUAAUUAUUAUAUAUUUAUUAUAUAGCCGAAUUUUUGACCCCGAAUUUUUAAUUAUCCGUAUAAAUCACGUAUCCGAAUAAUUACCGAACCCGUUUUUUAGCCGUAUUUUUCAACGAAUUUAAAAAUUUAAAAACGAAUUUUAUCCGAAUUAUACCCGUACCAAAUUUUUGCUGAAUCCGAAUUAACUAACUAUGGUUUUAUAUCAUUAUAUAAUGUUAACAUAUUUAUAUUAAUAAAGAAAACUAAUUUUAAUAUUUUUAAUAUAUUCUAAUUAAAUUAAAUAUUUUAAACAUAUUUAGUUUUUUAUAUAAUAUAUUAGUUAAAUAAUACUUGAUAUCUAUAC